rnacentral:lncRNA from 1 species
AACCCCCCCAUCCCCCACCCUGCUGGCUGCACUGCUCCCAAAGCAAGGCAGGAUUUGGGCAGCCCUCUUUCAUCGACCCACACCCCCAAACCCUCCUCACAGCCCUGCUGAAGCCAUGCUGCUUACCACCAACCACCCCAUCCUUCUUUUCCGUGACCCCCCUGUGUGCCCCACAGUCCCGCAGGCACAGAGGGGAAACCUCUGCUGUGCAGUUCUCCCCCCCCCCCCCCCCCCCCCAUUUUUCCCCUUCCUGGGAACGGGAGCUGUGUGUCCCCUUUUCCAACCCAUGGGAAUGUCUCCCAAUGCCACCACCUUCCGAAUACGAUGGAGGGCAGCGUGGCGGCAUCACCCCGCAGCUCCCCCUGAACCCAUGGAGGGAUCUCGUCGGCCCCAUAGCACCUUCAGGCCCUACAGCUGCUUUCAGACCUCAUCUUUGGGGGGCAGAUCGUCCUUCUCUCAGUUCCUUCCUUUGCUCUCUGCAGUUUGGGCGCUGCGGGCAGAGGAGGCAUUGAGCACCGCUGCUUUCUGUGUGUGCCUCAUGAUGCUGUGAGCUGUGGGUCGGGAUGGGCCCUAUAGACCACAGAAUCGCGUGGUUGGGUUGAAAGGGACCCUGUAGGUCAUAGAACCAUGGGAUCACUGAGUGGUUGGGAUGAGAGGACCCCAUCGAUCAUAGAACCAUGGGAUCACUGAGUGGUUGGGACGGGAGGACCCUAUGGAUCAUAAAACCAUGGGAUCACUGAGUGGAGUGGUUGGGUUGAAAGGGACCCUAUAGAUCACAGAAUAACAUUGUUGGGUUGGAGGGGCCCUAUAGAUCACUGAACCGAGGGAUCACAACACGGGUGUGUUGGAAGGGACCCUAUAGAUGACAGAAUCACAUCCUUGGGUUGGAACAGACCAUAUAGAUCACAGAACAAUGGGAUCACAGCUAGGGUGGGUUGGAAGGGACCCUAUAGAUCACAGAAUCACAUCGUUGGGUUGAAGGGGCCCUAUAGAUCACAGAACCACGGGAUCACAGCACGGGUGGGUUGGAGGGAUCCUAUGGAUCACAGGCAACGGAUGCACAGCACGGUUGCUUUGGAGAGGCCCUAUAGACCACAGACCCAUAGAAUCGCAGCACGGGCGGCUCGGAGGGACCCUACGGUCCCCAGAACCGCGGCAUCACAGCGCCGUUGCGUUGGGAGGGACCUCAAACCCCCGCAGUCCCACCCGGCGCAGCGCUGCCCGCAGCCGCCGCUGCGCGGCUCCCGGUGGC